rnacentral:rRNA from 1 species
AUUGAACGCUGGCGGCAGGCUUAACACAUGCAAGUCGAGCGGGGGAAGGUAGCUUGCUACCGGACCUAGCGGCGGACGGGUGAGUAAUGCUUAGGAAUCUGCCUAUUAGUGGGGGACAACAUCUCGAAAGGGAUGCUAAUACCGCAUACGUCCUACGGGAGAAAGCAGGGGAUCUUCGGACCUUGCGCUAAUAGAUGAGCCUAAGUCGGAUUAGCUAGUUGGUGGGGUAAAGGCCUACCAAGGCGACGAUCUGUAGCGGGGCUGAGAGGAUGAUCCGCAACACUGGGACUGAGACACGGCCCAGACUCCUACGGGAGGCAGCAGUGGGGAAUAUUGGACAAUGGGGGGAACCCCGAUCCAGCCAUGCCGCGUGUGUGAAGAAGGCCUUAUGGUUGUAAAGCACUUUAAGCGAGGAGGAGGCUACUUUAGUUAAUACCUAGAGAUAGUGGACGUUACUCGCAGAAUAAGCACCGGCUAACUCUGUGCCAGCCGCCGCCGUAA